AACGUAGGAUCCAAGCGUUAUCCGAAUUUACUGGGCGUAAAGCGUGUGCAGGCGGUUUAGCAAGUUGGAUGUGAAAGCUCCUGGCUCAACUAGGAGAGGCCGUUCAAAACUGCUAAACUAGAGGAUGGUAGAGGGAGGUGGAAUUCCCGGUGUAGUGGUGAAAUGCGUAGAUAUCGGGAGGAACACCAGUGGCGAAAGCGGCCUCCUGGACCAUUCCUGACGCUCAGACACGAAAGCUAGGGUAGCGAACGGG
rnacentral:rRNA from 1 species